CUGAUAUUAUCACUGUGAACGGUGGAUCACUUGGCUCGUACGUCGAUGAAAAACGAGGCGAGACUCGAAAGUUUAUGUGAAUUGCAGCCACGUUGAACAUAGAAAUUUUGAACGCACAUUGCGGUGUUGAGUUGACUCGACGCCGCGUCUGUCUGAGGGUCGUUUUCAUUUUAAAUAUCGUACAAUUGCCCGUUGUUGUUGUUGUUGUUCUUGAAAAGCAGCUAACACAACAACAACUGGGCUUUUAGUCGCUGGCCAAAAAUGUGUUGUUGUGUGUGGGAUCAUCUCUUGCGACUGCUGCCAAUUUUAUGUUGUGUGUGUUCAAUCAAAAGCUGGUGGAUCGUUGAAUGUGUUGUGUUGUUGUUGUGACAAGAAGCCGCCAGCCACAAUACGCUCGCGCGCGUAUGUGCUGCUGUGUUUGCGCUUCUUUUCGCUUUGCGCAUCAUUCAAUCUGCUUUGCAUAUUACUGUUGUUUCUAUCAUCAUCAAUUGUGUGUGCUUAUGUGAUGGAACAAUCAGUUUUGUGUGUAUUUGCAUCCGCAACAUAGAUUUGGAGAGUGUUGUCGACGUUUGCUUUCAGUGCUUCACAUGUUGUGCUGCUGCUGAGUGUGCCGGUGGUGGUUUUUGGUGUAACCUGAAAGUGAAACGCUGCAAACAUGUUCUCUUUUUGGCGUGAAUAGUAGUAGUCAUCAAUGAAAAAACCGAUAUAUGGUGAGCAGCUGAUGAAAAUGUGUGCUUAUUUUGUUGUUGUUGUUUCGUGCAACAAGUUGUUUGUGUGUGUGUGUAUGUUGAUCGUCGUCAACGUUCAGGUGAUGUGUUGUUGCUCAGUUGAUGAUGAUGAUGGCGACCAAACAACAACAACAACAACAACCAAAUUUUUGACGCGCUUGCUUACCAUUGCACGGUUUCAUUGCUGCGUUGUUGCUCUGUAGAACGUUUAUUUUCAUUUCAUCAAGUGUGAUGAUGAAAAUGUGUGGAAAUAAACGUGACAGUGGUAAUGUGCCGUGCUGCUGCUGCUGCUGCGCUGCUGCUGCUAUUGUUUACUUGCUGUUGUUGUGUGUUGUUGUACACACACACCCACACAAUUCUGUGUGCAGUUGUCGUAUGUUUUCGAAAGGGAAUCCGGUUGAUAUUCCGGAACCGAGUAACGGAGACAAAGAGUAGCGCUUUAAUCUUCCGGUUGGCGUUCAACUCAAUCGCGCGGUAACGCAAGCGAACUCGGAAAAUGACCGUCGUGAGUUUCGAAAAGAGUUUUCUUUUCUUUUUAAGGGACGCAUUCCCUGGAACCGGGUUGUCCGGAGAUAGGGAUUCUGGUAUCCAUAAAACGCCGACUCUUUCACGGUGUUCGGAGCGCUCUCGUCGGUACGUGAAAAUCCGAGCGACGCCUGGUAAAUCUCGUACUUGGUCGUACUGAUAUCCGCAGCAGGUCUCCAAGGUGAAUAGCCUCUGGCCGAUAGAAUAAUGUAGGUAAGGGAAGUCGGCAAAACGGAUCCGUAACUUCGGAACAAGGAUUGGCUCUAAGGGCUGGGCCGAUCGGGCUGAGGUUUCAAGCGUGCAGUGUAUGCUUGGCUGAGCUGUGCUGAGGAUUGAUUAGCUUGGUGCCGUUUGUUGACCCAAGCGGCUGUCCAGGUGGUCAUGUCUGAAGCAAAGCUGGCCGACAGACCGGCACGUGCAGAACCUGAGCUGCGCGGCUGUCAGUUUAUUUGUACAGACCGUUUCGGUCGGCAUUCAACAGCCAACUUAGAACUGGCACGGACACAAGGAAUCUGACUGUAUAAUUAAAACAAAGCAUUGCGAUGGCCGAUGAUCGGUGUUGACGCAAUGUGAUUUCUGCCCAGUGCUCUGAAUGUCAAAGUGAAGAAAUUCAACCAAGCGCGGGUAAACGGCGGGAGUAACUAUGACUCUCUUAAGGUAGCCAAAUGCCUCGUCAUCUAAUUAGUGACGCGUAUGAAUGGAUCAACAAGAUUCCUUCUGUCCCUAUCUACUAUCUAGCGAAACCACAGCCAAGGGAACGGGCUUGGCAAAAUCAGCGGGGAAAGAAGACCCUGUUGAGCUUGACUCUAGUCUGACUCUGUGAAGAGACAUGAAAGGUGUAGCAUAGGUGGGAGGCUGCAGCCGGGCACUGCUUGCGCGGUGUCUCUGUGGUCGCCAAUGAAAUACCACUACUUUGAUCGUUUCUUUACUUAUUCGGUAAAGCGAAAAAAUUGUGGCCAAUUUUGCGGUCUCGCCGCUGUUGGUCAUUGUUUUAAUGUUGGAUUGAAGCUUCGUUUGUAGCCGUCGUUUUGUGUCGCCGUUUGACGUGCAUUCGCAGUGGUGUGGGUUUCUUGGCUCGCGCGCGGCUAGUGUCGUCAACAGCGGACGACCGGCGAUUGGUUUGAAGUGAUUCGCUCCGGAAACAGUGUCAGACGGGGAGUUUGACUGGGGCGGUACAUCUGUUAAACGAUAACGCAGGUGUCCUAAGGUAAGCUCAGCGAGGACAGAAACCUCGCCUAGAGUAAACGGGCACAAGCUUACUUGAUUUUGAUUUCCAGUACGAAUAAAAACCGCGAAAGCGUGGCCUAUCGAUCCUUUUGAUUGUGUAGAUUUCACGCAAGAGGUGUCAGAAAAGUUACCACAGGGAUAACUGGCUUGUGGCAGCCAAGCGUCCAUAGCGACGUUGCUUUUUGAUCCUUCGAUGUCGGCUCUUCCUAUCAUUGCGAAGCAGAAUUCGCCAAGCGUUGGAUUGUUCACCCACCAAUAGGGAACGUGAGCUGGGUUUAGACCGUCGUGAGACAGGUUAGUUUUACCCUACUGAUGACAAGUCGUUGCGAUAGUAAUCCUGCUCAGUACGAGAGGAACCGCGGGAUCAGACAUUUGGUUCAUGCGCUCGGCUGAAAGGCCGGUGGCGCGAAGCUAGCAUCUGCAAGAUUAUGACUGAACGCCUCUAAGUCAGAAUCUUUUCUAGUCAUUGGCAACGAUAAGUUGCGUCCGGACUCGAUGCGAGGAAACGACUAGGCUUUGUUGUGCGUCUUUUUUGCUCAGCGAAGCCGUCAUUAUACCACGGUAGCAGGCAGUUGGGAUAGGUUGCGAAAAAGCAAUUUUU
rnacentral:rRNA from 1 species